rnacentral:rRNA from 1 species
UACAGAGGCCCCAAGCGUUACUGAGAAUCACUGGGUUUAAAGGGUGCGUAGGCGGUCAGUUAAGUCUGUUGUGAAAGCCCUUGGCUCAACCAAGGAAUUGCUUCGGAUACUGGCGGACUUGAGGCUAGUAGAGGUCACUGGAACUGACGGUGGAGCGGUGAAAUGCGUAGAUAUCGUCAGGAACGCCGGUGGUGAAGACGGGUGACUGGGCUAGUUCUGACGCUGAGGCACGAAAGCGUGGGGAGCGAACGGG